AGACUCAAAUAGCAACUGGAGAUGGUAAGAGGUGAGGCUCCCUCUCCUCCUGGUUGGGAAAGAGGAAGUACAUAACCCCAAUAGCUGCCCGCAGCUAUCAGGAGGCGCGUGGAACGUGACAGCAGUAUGGGUAAGUGGAGUCAGCGUUGUCACCAAACCACACCUAAUUUCUGCCUCUCUUCUGGACUCUUCAGUUAUGUGAGUCAUAAAUACUCUUUAUUAUAUUUGUAUAAGUCAUUUUGAAUUGGAGUUUGUUAUACUUUCACUCCAAAGUGUGUUAUCUGAUUACAAAUAAUUUCUUGUAUUUUAGGCAUGUACAUCCUAAAUAUUGAAGUAGGUUUAAAAAAACAAACUCACAAGAAACUUUAAAAAAUCUAAAUUAUCCAGAGGGCUUCAAAUAUCCAGAGAACAUUUGCAAACAAAUUUGGAUCUCUGACUUAUGUGCAAAAUAAUAAUAUAAUAAAAUAAUAAAGGAAAAUAAAAUACCCAUAGCCCGGGUGAUUUGUUUGCUUCACAUCUGAAGACAAUCAAGAUUGUGAGUUGGUAGUUUGGAGCCAGAUGUAACAGAUGCUCAAUUGGCCCACAGCGUGCUGGUUUCAGAUUGUCGUGUACAGUUGUCUUGGAUUUUGUUGCUAAAAACACUGCUGUUUUUGCCAAACAAUACUGUUUUGGGAGUUUGCCACCACAAACAGAGAGUUUGCUGUGAUGAAGAUUUGUUCUUUUUGUGGGACCGCAGAAUACCAUUAGAUUAUAAUAAUGUGAGAGGGAAGACAUCAGCCUGCCUGUGUUCAGUAUAUCACAUGCUACUAACUAGAUUUAAAAGCACAGUUUUAUUCUCAAUAGCUAGCAACCAAGAGUGAAGAUAAUAGUGAUGUGAUUGGGCUUUUAAAAUGCAUGGGAAGUUGUAUUCUCUUGGAGU
rnacentral:lncRNA from 10 species